UACGUAGGCGGCGAGCGUUGUCCGGAAUCAUUGGGCGUAAAGAGCGUGUAGGCGGCUCGAAAAGUCUGGUGUGAAAACUGGAGGCUCACCCUCCAGCUGUCGCUGGAUACUGUCGGGCUUGAGUCCGGAAGAGGAGAGUGGAAUUCCUGGUGUAGCGGUGGAAUGCGCAGAGAUCAGGAGGAACACCAAUGGCGAAGGCAGCUCUCGGGUACGUGACUGACGCUGAGACGCGAAAGCGUGGGGAGCGAACAGG
rnacentral:rRNA from 1 species